rnacentral:rRNA from 1 species
GUGGGGAAUUUUGGACAAUGGGCGAAAGCCUGAUCCAGCCAUUCCGCGUGCAGGAUGAAGGCCCUCGGGUUGUAAACUGCUUUUGUACAGAACGAAAAAGCUCCGGCUAAUACCUGGAGUCCAUGACGGUACUGUAAGAAUAAGCACCGGCUAACUACGUGCCAGCAGCCGCGGUAAUACGUAGGGUGCAAGCGUUAAUCGGAAUUACUGGGCGUAAAGCGUGCGCAGGCGGUUUUGUAAGACAGAGGUGAAAUCCCCGGGCUCAACCUGGGAACUGCCUUUGUGACUGCAAGGCUGGAGUGCGGCAGAGGGGGAUGGAAUUCCGCGUGUAGCAGUGAAAUGCGUAGAUAUGCGGAGGAACACCGAUGGCGAAGGCAAUCCCCUGGGCCUGCACUGACGCUCAUGCACGAAAGCGUGGGGAGCAAACAGGAUUAGAUACCCUUGUAGUCC